UACGAAGGGGGCUAGCGUUGCUCGGAAUUACUGGGCGUAAAGGGCGCGUAGGCGGAUAUUUAAGUUAGAGGUGAAAGCCCAGGGCUCAACCCUGGAACAGCCUUUAAUACUGGAUAUCUUGAGUUCGGGAGAGGUGAGUGGAACUCCGAGUGUAGAGGUGAAAUUCGUAGAUAUUGGGAAGAACACCGGUGGCGAAGGCGGCGCUCUGGACCGAGACUGACGCUGAGGCGCGAAAGCGUGGGGAGCAAACAGG
rnacentral:rRNA from 1 species